GACGUAGGGUGCGAGCGUUGUCCGGAUUUAUUGGGCGUAAAGAGCUCGUAGGCGGCUCGUCGCGUCGACCGUGAAAACCCGCGGCUUAACUGCGGGCUUGCGGUUGAUACGGGCGGGCUAGAGUUCGGUAGGGGAGACUGGAAUUCCUGGUGUAGCGGUGGAAAUGCGCAGAUAUCAGGAGGAACACCAGCGGCGAAGGCGGCUCACUGGCCCGGUACUGACGCUGAGGUGCGAAAGCGUGGGGAGCAACAGG
rnacentral:rRNA from 1 species